AGCGGCGCGCUCGGUCGAGCGGGCCGCGGCCACUUGGGCGGUGCGCUCCCUUGUGUGGACUGGGAGGUCGGGCACGUCCUACCGCAGCAACGUCCGCCGCGCCGCCGUUCUCUCGUCGCUUCGUUAGCCAUUUUCUUGCAACGUCUUGAGUCUUGAGCAACAACGAUGUGCGGGCACUGAAUGACAUAGUGCGCGCGUUACUCAACACAAACCGAGGGGGCGCGUGCGCGCGCUGAACCUCUCAAGGAAAUACUUUAUCAGUUCUGCUGAAUAAUCGAAAAAUUGUCGCCGGUGUGCACCAACGAACUAGGUUCCCCGAGUUCCAUUCAAAAGACCUCAAAGCAGUUCUAGGGCUGUUAGUCCAAAGAAUAGGAAGGGCUGGCCUUUGACACAUGGCUCAUUGGCUGUCUCAGGAGAAAACAUCAUCGCCCUGCCCAUGGCAGCUUAGGUUAUUCUAGGGCUGCCCUUCCUCACUUGAAAAACAGGAAAACUUCUUUCUUGUUGGCCUCAGGUUUGCUAUCCUCCCCGGUAGACCUGAUGGCUCAACACGAAAUUGUUCAAUGAAAGAGAAAACUAGCUUAUAAGUACUUGUUGCCGUUAUCAUAUACUGUGUUCACUAUUUUGCCCCCCAAAAUUUGGGAUUCCAAGAACAGUGAGCAUCUUCUUAUGGAGGAUCGGCCUGUACAAGUGAGUACCUAUUUGUAAUUUUACCUUGUAUUAUUCAUUAUCAAAGUGCAAGCAUUGAUAAAAUAAAACGAUUCUAUAAAUUCCAUAAGGUGAUUAUGAUGCACAAUUAACUAUACUGUAUUUCCUGGUUUUACAACUUAAAUUCCUGAGAUCUGACUCACUUUAGGUUACUUUUUCUGAUUGGCUCAAAAAAAAGGAAGACUGGACAUUAUAAAAGAAUACCUGACAUUAGGGUAGUUCUUUACAGUUUAUAAGGCACUUUGACGUACAGUAACCCCCUUAAUCCUUCCCAAGUCUGUCAAGUAAAUCUCCGUGAGGCUUAGAGAGAUUAAAUGACUUGCCCAUGUUCACACAGCUGGUAUGUGGCCGAGCUGUGCUCAAAUCCCAGGCUCCUGAUUCCAAAUCCAGCUCUGUCUCUGCUACAACAUUGGAUUCACAAUAAUAGAAGUUUAGAAUGCAAGACUCCUUAGAAAUCUUCUGGCCCAUCACUUGAGGUCAGGAGUUCAAGACCAAACUGGCCAAGAUACAGGGUUUAGUA
rnacentral:lncRNA from 1 species